CUACCACCUUGGCGGCCUCAGCUACCAGUGGUGGCGGCCUCAGACUCCCUGGUACUCCUACCUCCUUCCGUCACUCAUAAGUCCAGCCACCUCCUUCAACGACAACUACCCUAAACACUAACAGGCAUGGCCCUCUUGCUGCUUCAGCCGUAAGUGCUGAUAUGGCUCUAUACCCCUUCGAAGCUAUGAAGGUUUCUUCUUUCUUACUGUAGUCAUAGGAUUUCCACUUUCUAAGAAGAGCUACAAACCUCUAAAGAGCUGAUUAUUAUCAAGGUGGACGAAUUUCUCUCGAAGGAACCACUAAAUCUUAUGGAAAAACUUGUUGAAAACUUCCAUUGGCUGCACCUCCUGUGCACAUGAGGAGUGAUAUGUCGCCUUCCGUGUAUCGAUGAUAUGCUACACUCUUGAUAUGUCUGUCACCUUUUUCUGUACGGAUGAUUGAUGUGUUACAUCUUUUGUGUAUUGAUGGCCUAUACACUUUUGUCUUUGGAUGAUCGAGAUGUUACCAUUUCUAAUAUUCAUGUUAUGUACAA